GUUUAGUGGGACAAGACUGCCCUCUAUAGACCAAAUACUAAAUGGCUAUCUGGAAGGUAACCACUCCCCCAGUGUUGCUUUUGGUCUACCAAUUAGUGAAUUUUCCCUUUAAAAAGUUAAGACAGGAGGGUUGAGAGAAGGAAGCAGAGGAGAGGAAUUGGAAGUUUGGGGACUCCAACUCAGACAUGCAGAGAAACCCAGGACAACAUCUGAGACUAACACUCUACUCUUAAAAUUCUAACACUUAGAAUUUUACUGACUUUCUAACCAACACCACCUUUCACCAUAACUCAUGCACCUACACACAUCCAAAUAAGUUCCUGAGACUAUUCAUCUGAUGAGAAUAUCUACUCAACUGGUAAUUAUA